rnacentral:rRNA from 1 species
UACGGAGGGAGCUAGCGUUGUUCGGAAUUACUGGGCGUAAAGCGCGCGUAGGCGGCUUUGUAAGUUAGAGGUGAAAGCCUGGGGCUCAACUCCAGAAUUGCCUUUAAGACUGCAUCGCUUGAAUCAUGGAGAGGCGAGUGGAAUUCCGAGUGUAGAGGUGAAAUUCGUAGAUAUUCGGAAGAACACCAGUGGCGAAGGCGGCUCGCUGGACAUGUAUUGACGCUGAGGUGCGAAAGCGUGGGGAGCAAACAGG